rnacentral:rRNA from 1 species
AGCAGCCGCGGUAAUUCCAGCUCCAAUAGCGUAUAUUAAAGUUGUUGCAGUUAAAAAGCUCGUAGUUGAAUUUCGGGGUUAGCAGGUCGGUCGUGCCAUUGGUAUGAACUGGUCUCGCUGAUCCCUCCCUCUUGACGAACUGUGAUGCCAUUAAUUUGGUGUCGCAGGGAAUCAGGACUGUUACUUUGAAAAAAUUAGAGUGUUUAAAGCAGGCUUUAGCUUGAAUACAUUAGCAUGGAAUAAUGAAAUAGGACGUUUGAUCCUAUUUUGUUGGUUUCUAGGAUUGACGUAAUGAUUAAUAGGGAUAGUUGGGGGCAUUAGUAUUCAAUUGUCAGAGGUGAAAUUCUUGGAUUUAUUGAAGACUAACUACUGCGAAAGCAUUUGCCAAGGAUGUUUUCAUUAAUCAAGAACGAAAGUUAGGGGAUCGAAGACGAUCAGAUACCGUCGUAGUCUUAACCAUAAACUAUGCCGACUAGGGAUCGGAUGAUGUUAAUUUUUUAAUGACUCGUUCGGCGCCUUACG